rnacentral:pre_miRNA from 1 species
CGAGUACUCUUUUCAUUCGGAAUUACUUGUCUUGGAAAUGGAUGUAUCUAAAACUAAAAUACGUUUAGAUAUAUUCAUUUCUGCGACAAGUAAUUUCGAAUGAAAGGGGUACUUC